AGAGAGAGAGAGAGAGAGAGAGAGAGAGAGAGAGAGAGAGAGAGAAUCUCUUUUGUAUGACUGAAGGAAUAUCCAGGUGAUCUCCCCUCCUUUCAUUCACCUCUCCUCUCUAAAGAAAGUAGCAGUUAGACACACACACACACACACACACAACCUUUCUCUCCCACUUCAGCAGAAAGCAGGGAGGAUAACGUUUGACUUGCUCACCAGCCAAACAUGUUGAUGAGGGGGAAAUAGUGUUAAUCCAGCAAGGAAGCUUUUCUUUUCAAAUCAACCCAAUAAAACACCACUUUCCCCUUCCUGUAAAACCUGAAUCAGCUAUAAAAACUGUAUAACAUAUAGAAUUCUGGGUAGUCAAUAAAAAAAUGCACUUCCCAUGCGAAGGGUAGUACUAGGGGGUAAAGUAAGUGGGUGAAAAUCGUUCUGUUAGCAAUAUAAUAUUUUGUACUUUAGUGAAUUAAUGUGCGUUUGCUAAGAGGGGUGUGGCUUCAGAGCUGUCAUGACAACCCGAGGAAGACCAACUCAAAUAUUCCAAAUCCCUCCACCUUCAGUUGUUUUGGUCUCUCCCUGUGGAGAUGACAGCGGGGAUCACGUCUGUAGCGUGGACAAGUCACACCGUCAUCACACACUUCACACAGCAGCACAAAGACAUGUUGGAGUCAUUCCUCUACUUCACACAUGAGACAUGUGGAUACCCAGAAACCACCACUCUGCCUGCCGAGGAGGACUAGACCCGGGAUUAACCAGCACUAGCUGCAACGACACACACACAGGUACUGACUGCAACGACACACACACAGGUACUAGCUUAGAGAGGACACACCCAGCACUUAGAGAGGACAUAGAGAGGACAUAGAGAGGACACAGAGAGGACAUAGAGAGGACAUAGAGAGGACACAGAGAGGACACACCCAGCACUUAGAGAGGACAUAGAGAGGACACACCCAGCACUUAGAGAGGACAUAGAGAGGACACAGAGAGGACACAGAGAGGACACACCCAGCACUUAGAGAGGACAUAGAGAGGACAUAGAGAGGACACAGAGAGGACACACCCAGCACUUAGAGAGGACAUAGAGAGGACACACCCAGCACUUAGAGAGGACAUAGAGAGGACACACCCAGCACUUAGAGAGGACAUAGAGAGGAGAUAGAGAGGACACACCCAGCACUUAGAGAGGACAUAGAGAGGACACACCCAGCACUUAGAGAGGACAUAGAGAGGACACAGAGAGGACACACCCAGCACAUAGAGAGGACACAGAGAGGACACACCCAGCACUUAGAGAGGACACAGAGAGGACACAGAGAGGACACACCCAGCACUUAGAGAGGACAUAGAGAGGACACACCCAGCACUUAGAGAGGACAUAGAGAGGACAUAGAGAGGACACAGAGAGGACACACCCAGCACUUAGAGAGGACACAGAGAGGACACACCCAGCACUUAGAGAGGACACAGAGAGGACACAGAGAGGACACAGAGAGGACACACCCAGCACUUAGAGAGGACAUAGAGAGGACACAGAGAGGACACACCCAGCACUUAGAGAGGACAUAGAGAGGACACAGAGAGGACACACCCAGCACUUAGAGAGGACAUAGAGAGGACACAGAGAGGACACACCCAGCACUUAGAGAGGACAUAGAGAGGACACACCCAGCACUUAGAGAGGACAUAGAGAGGACACAGAGAGGACACACCCAGC
ensembl:lncRNA